CCUGUAAAUUUACAUGGAAAUUUAACAGCAAAUUGCUGUUUCCAUGUAAUAACAGCAUUUUGCUUUUUUUUACAAUGCAUUAUGGGAAGACUUGUUCACUUCGGGUUGCGUGGUCGAUCAACAACAAUUUGACACUGUUAUUUAACAGUACUAUACCCUAUUUUCAUCCAAUGAGCACAAGGCGCCAGUUUGGAAUAUCAGAUUGAGGUAGGUUUGCAACGAUUUAUUAUUUUAUUAUCUUUAAAUGACCUAUUACUUUAAAAUAUAACAUCUUAAACUUCUAAUAAAGCUUCUGUGAUUUAAAUCAGAUGCCUCAAUUAAAUUAUGUGUUUUAACUAACGUUAUAGGCAAAUAAUUGGUCAACCGAUCCCAGACUGCCAUCAUACAGCCAUCUUUAUUACACAACACAGAUGUCUGCCACUCCUGCUGACCUCGAAAAGAUGGGGAACCUGCCUGUGAGUCCUCGUUUGAUCCUGCUUGGUGUUAAUCCGGGCCAAUGGAUGAAACAAUGGAUGAUCAGCCUCGAAGGCCGAAUAAUCUGUGAGGGUGUGCAGCCAACCUUUAUCUCUGGACUUGCUGCAUUGUUCUCUUCGUAUUACAUUUUUAAUUUGCAGUACCAAGAGGAAGCAGCAUCCACACUAGAAUUCCUUCAAAGGUAACAAGUUUGGACUUAUUUUAUUUAUUUCUAAUUAAUAUGUUAGUAUUAGUAUGGUGACAAUAGAAUCCUCAAGCCAUUCUUACUUUCUUCUUUGAGCCGAACACAGUCGGAGUUAUAAAGAGAAAAUAAUAUUCUGGCUUCCCAGCUUUGCAAUGGCAUUGAAUAGAUCCCGAGUUUUUGAAGCUCCAAAAACCGCAUCCAUCCAUCAUAAAAUCCAUACGACUCCAGGGGGUUAAUGAAGUGAAGCGAUGGUUUUUUGUAAGAAAAAUAUCCAUGUUUAUAACUUUUAUCAGCUAUAAUCACUGGCUUCCAGAAACAGCCGUACGCGAGUUCCAGAUAGAGUCGAGUUCCGGCAGAAGAAUGACCUUUGACCCGACAUAUGAAAUCUUAUAUCAAAGUCCUAUUCUUUCAAAACGUCUUAAGCCCUAUUCGGACGGGACUAGCUUCACAGGGGGACGUUAGAGAAAUUUAUGCUUGACAGAUGUACUUUGAGAUUUGAAUCCUGUCCGAAUCUGCCAUGUCUGUCUUUUUCUCACACGACCUCUGUAAAAAUUCCAGAGCAAAUGACCUACUGUUUUUCGUCAAACUCGAGGGUCCUCAGAUUAAUCUAAUCCUGUCCGAAUGCGAAUGUCUGUGAUUGCCAAAAAAGUUUUUUUUCCAAAACGCUUUUUCUUGUGUGUUUUAGUCAACGUGAACUACCAUAAAAUCUCUCGCCGGUAUUCAAGUUUCUGCUUUUUGCGCACCGAUAAUGGAUGUAGAUGUGACGCAUUCGUCAGUUCAAACCUAAGCUUUCGCUACGUCUUCGCCAUACGUCCUACGUCAUGCGUCAGGUCAGAGGUCACCCUUCCGCCAGAACUCAACUCAAUUAUGAACACGCAUAUGGUCAUGCCAUGAUUAUAUUUUAUGAAUUUAUAAAAUAAAGAUAUCUUUCUUAAAAAAGGCAUGGCUUUCCUUAUUAGACAUUUAUUAACCCCACUGGAUACAUAUCGAUAACUUUUAUGCUUUAUUGAUGCGUUUAUUGGAGCUUCACAAACUUUACAAAUCUGGGAAGGAUGUUAUGCAUUAUGGCUGGAAGAAGAAAGCCAUAUACACUUAUGGUUUGAGGGUGAGUAAAUUAUGGGAUAAAUUAUUGUUUGGGAUUAACUAUUCCUUUUAAAUCAUUGUUCACUGAAGAUAUUAUCCUCUUAUUUUUCAGACAUUUUUGCAUUUUGAUGGGUGUUUAAUUGUAUGCACUGAAUAGUACUUGACUAGUAUUUUUUUAUUUGCCUAUUUUAGUUUACAAUAAUUGAGCAGAAUUUAUCUGGUGUUGUAUCAGAAUAAUAAAAAAAAAUACUAACUUGUCUUUAUUCCUUUUUUGUAAUCCAUGACAAAAAUAAUGUGCAGGGUUAUAAUAGCAUUUAGAAUUGAAAUUAUUGGGGUUUCAUUGUAAAAACUAAUACUGUAAAAAAACAGUUAACUACUGGCAGCUGUGGUUGCCAUUAUCAUACUGUAAAAAU